rnacentral:misc_RNA from 1 species
GCAAACUUGGUCAUUUAGAGGAAGUAAAAGUCGUAACAAGGUUUCCGUAGGUGAACCUGCGGAAGGAUCAUCACUGAUUCGGGGCCGGGACGCGUGGGAGGCCACGUUGUACUCGCGCCCCAACCAAUCUUGUGUGAACCGUAACGCGCGCAAGCAUUGCGUGGAGUGGUUGGCGGUACGGGGGGAGACCCACCGCCGCCGCCGCCGCCGCCGCCAUGCAAGCACACAAUUACCCUUACCAAUCUUGUCUAACAUUACACACACUAAAUUAACACAACUUUUAACAAUGGAUCUCUUGGCUCUCGCAUCGAUGAAGAACGCAGC